UACGGAGGGUGCAAGCGUUAUCCGGAUUCACUGGGUUUAAAGGGUGCGUAGGUGGGUCUGUAAGUCAGUGGUGAAAUCUCCAAGCUUAACUUGGAACUGCCGUUGAUACUAUAGACCUUGAAUGCUGUGGAGGUGAGCGGAAUAUGUCAUGUAGCGGUGAAAUGCUUAGAUAUGACAUAGAACACCAAUUGCGAAGGCAGCUCACUACCCAGAUAUUGACACUGAAGCACGAAAAGCGUGGGGGAUCAAACAGG
rnacentral:rRNA from 1 species